ensembl:lncRNA
GUCCUGGUUUAAUCCUGGUUUAGUCCUGGUUUAGUCCUGGUUUAGUCCUGGUUUAGUCCUGGUUUAGUCCUGGUUUAGCCCUGGUGUAGUCCUGGUUUAGUCCUGGUUUAGUCCUGGUUUAGCCCUGGUGUAGUCCUGGUUUAGUCCUGGUUUAGUCCUGGUUUAGCCCUGGUGUAGUCCUGGUUUAGUCCUGGUUUAGUCCUGGUCUAGCUCUGGUUUAGUCCUGUUUUAGUCCUGGUGUAGUCCUGGUUUAGUCCUGGUUUAGUCCUGGUUUAGCCCUGGUGUAGUCCUGGUUUAGUCCUGGUUUAGUCCUGGUUUAGCUCUGGUUUAGUCCUGUUUUAGUCCUGGUUUAGUCCUGUUUUAGUCCUGGUUUAGUCCUGGUGUAGU